rnacentral:rRNA from 1 species
UACAGAGGUCUCAAGCGUUGUUCGGAUUCAUUGGGCGUAAAGGGUGCGUAGGUGGCGGGGUUAGUCAGGUGUGAAAUCUCGGGGCUCAACCCCGAAACUGCCACUUGAUACUGCCUUGCUAGAGUACUGGAGAGGAGAUUGGAAUUUACGGUGUAGCAGUGAAAUGCGUAGAUAUCGUAAGGAAGACCAGUGGCGAAGGCGGGUCUCUGGACAGUUCCUGACGCUGAGGCACGAAGGUCAGGGGAGCAAACGGG